CUCAGAACGAACGCUGGCGGCAUGCCUAACACAUGCAAGUCGAACGAGACCUUCGGGUCUAGUGGCGCACGGGUGCGUAACGCGUGGGAAUCUGCCCUUUGCUUCGGAAUAACAGUUAGAAAUGACUGCUAAUACCGGAUGAUGUCUUCGGACCAAAGAUUUAUCGGCAAAGGAUGAGCCCGCGUAGGAUUAGGUAGUUGGUGGGGUAAAGGCCUACCAAGCCGACGAUCCUUAGCUGGUCUGAGAGGAUGAUCAGCCACACUGGGACUGAGACACGGCCCAGACUCCUACGGGAGGCAGCAGUGGGGAAUAUUGGACAAUGGGCGCAAGCCUGAUCCAGCAAUGCCGCGUGAGUGAUGAUGGCCUUCGGGUCGUAAAGCUCUUUACCAGGGAUGAUAAUGACAGUACCUGGAGAAUAAGCUCCGGCUAACUCCGUG
rnacentral:rRNA from 1 species